ACAUGCAAGUCGAACGAGUUCUGAUUAUUGAAAGGUGCUUGCAUCUUGAUUUAAUUUUGAACGAGUGGCGGACGGGUGAGUAACACGUGGGUAACCUGCCCUUAAGUGGGGGAUAACAUUUGGAAACAGAUGCUAAUACCGCAUAAAUCCAAAAACCGCAUGGUUCUUGGCUGAAAGAUGGCGUAAGCUAUCGCUUUUGGAUGGACCCGCGGCGUAUUAGCUAGUUGGUGAGGUAACGGCUCACCAAGGCAAUGAUACGUAGCCGAACUGAGAGGUUGAUCGGCCACAUUGGGACUGAGACACGGCCCAAACUCCUACGGGAGGCAGCAGUAGGGAAUCUUCCACAAUGGACGCAAGUCUGAUGGAGCAACGCCGCGUGAGUGAAGAAGGCUUUCGGGUCGUAAAACUCUGUUGUUGGAGAAGAAUGGUCGGCAGAGUAACUGUUGUCGGCGUGACGGUAUCCAACCAGAAAGCCACGGCUAACUACGUGCCAGCA
rnacentral:rRNA from 2 species